rnacentral:misc_RNA from 1 species
AGUUCAAGGAAACAGUUCAUAAGUAAGUUUGUUUCACAUUUUAUUGUUUCAAUUCAUUAAAUGGUUCUGUUUGGAAGCUGAGCAACUCAUACUAAACAAAUCAGAAGCUGAUUUUUGCAAGAAGAGUGCAAAACUCGAUGAAGCUCGCCCAAAUUUUCUAUAAGGGCUAGUUAACGUAGGGGCUGUUUGAUUUGGUUUUACUUAAAUGGAAAAUUCAUUGAUUUUGAAAGCUAAAAUUGGAUCAUUCAUGGCUAUUCAAAGCUGGAUAAAAGUUGUCCAUAAUGUUUAGUACAUGGUACUUUAGUUUUGGUUUUAUCUCCUGAGUUUCAGCUUCCAAAUGGGGCAUAAGGAAAUUGAACUUAUGCAGAUUGCUAAUACAAUGCCCUGUUUUUACUUCUCUGUUUGUUAUCAUUUACUGUAUUUUAAGGUUAGA